GACGUAGGGGGCAAGCGUUGUUCGGAAUUAUUGGGCGUAAAGCGCUCGUAGGCGGGACAGGAAGUUCGUGUUGAAAGACCUCGGCUCAACUGAGGGACCGGCUCGAAUACUCUUGUUCUUGAGGCAAUCAGAGGGUGAUGGAAUUCCCGGUGUAGCGGUGAAAUGCGUAGAUAUCGGGAAGAACACCAGUGGCGAAGGCGAUCACCUGGGGUUGUUCUGACGCUGAGGAGCGAAAGCUAGGGGAGCAAACGGG
rnacentral:rRNA from 1 species